CUCUUAUAUAGCUAUUUAUUUAUUUUUUUGAGAUAGGGCAGGCAAUACUCUGGUAACAAACCAUCCACAAAUCUCAGUGGAUAAAAACAUAAAAUCAUUGCAUAUUGCAUUAAGCUGCAUUGAAAACCCAGUAAGAAAUUUGGUGUAAAUAAAAUGAAAUAAAAAUGGGAAAAAUAAAGUCCUUAAGAUCAUUGUAUUAGGAAAAAAUGUCUACUGACUUCUUGACAACAACAGGACUUAUUUAUUUAUUUAUUUAUUUAUUUAUUUAUUUAUUUAUUUAUUUUGAGACAGCGUCUCUUUCUGCAGCCCAUGCUGGAGUGCACUGGCGCGAUCUUGGCUCACUGCAGCCUUGACCUCUGGAGCUCAAGUGAUCCUCUCAUUUCAGCCUCCAAGUAGCUGGGACCACAGCACAGUGACCCAUGAUAUUCAAGGUGGUGGCUGCUUUGUCAGAUGAAUUCCUGAGUGACCAUAAGCAGAGAUCUCCUAACGACCCAUGAUGGGUAGUGUGAGCAAGUAUGAGCCGUCUAGUGGAGCAAGAAAUAGUGCCUAUAUAAGCACUGAGAUUUGAAGAUGGUUUGUUACCAGAGAAUUGCCUACCUUAUCCUGACUGAUAAUCAGAUGUAAUAAUAUACCUCUGACUGGUGUUGGCUCCAUCAUACACCAGGGAAACAGCUGUUGUCUAGUACUUAUAACAUGUAACUCAAAACCCCUGGUUUAAAUGAAUUCCUGAGUGCAUUAUGCAUAACAUUUGUAUAACUGGCUUUUGUAAACAAGACAUUGCUAUAGUUCUUCACAGAAUUAUGCUAAUAUCGAUAGAUUAUUCUUCAUUUAUCUUUAUCUGUUCUGAGCGACUGAAAGAGGAAAGAUUUGUUAUGAGAACACAUAAAUACAGUAUCAUGAAAGGGAAAGAAAAAGUUCUGUUUUGCGGAAGGCAUUAGUCCCCUUUGUUAGUCAAAUGAAGAGAGACUAUUCAUUAUACUUUAAUCUUAAGGAAUCCAAGAUUGCUAAACUAAUGGAUGACAUGUGACUAAGGAAUGAAUUAGUUGAACUUUAUUCUAUGAGUUGCCACCAUGAACUGUGCCAGGUCCUUUAAAUGCUUUGAAUGUUUUUCAUGCAUGGAUAAGAUUAUUUCAGACCUACCAGGCCUUGAAGAAGGAUCAAAGUCUUGUCAGAGCUUUUGCCUAAAAUUGAAAAUAUCAUGUUACUUGGAUUAUUUAUUUAUCCCUGCACCUUGUUGCAAAAAGGAUUUUAAGUAGAUGGCAUAUUAUUAUUUUAUUAACACGUUAAAAAAAAACCCAUAAGAGGAUUAUAGAGUUUUUCCCUAUCCUACUUCUCAGAGUGUUUUAAGCACACUGUAGAAUUUAUUCACUCAUGAAUUUGAUACAAACUAAAGUGAAAAUCUCUUCUCUGGAACCUCAUAGUGCUUAGAAAGCAUAGUAACACGUUCAGAGAAAGAGGAAGAUCAAAUUUAGAGGAAGCUCGUGUUUGAGUUUCUGCCACAAUGAGUUUCCCAUUCUAGAUAUUAAAAUAAUAGUAUAUACCCCAAAUAAAAUACUCAAGUUUCUGUAAAUUAAGGAUUAUGACUUGAUUAUACAUAUUUUAGAUUUAGAGCAUGCAUAAAAAAUAUCUUUUUCACCAACUAGUAGAAAAAAAUUUGAAAUGUGAUGAUUUUAAUCUUUCAUGAUAUGUAAUCUAAAAUAUCAAAACAUCACUGACUUUGCAUUAUAAUUAAAUAUAAAAGGUGACUGACUUAAGCCAAAUUUAAAAAAAAAAUUGAGACAAGGUCUGUGUCACCAGAGGUGUUAAGCAGUAGUGCAAACACAGCUCACUGCAGCAUUGACCUCCCGGGCUCAAACUCUCCUCCCAUCUCAGCCUCCCAGGCAGCUGAGAUCACAGAUACACACCACCACACCCAGAUAAUUUUUUUUUUUUAAGUAAGGACAAAAUCUCACUAUGUUGUCCAGGUUCCAAAUAAAUUUUAAGAGCCUAAUUUUAACUAUUCAAAAACUAAGCAAAUACCUGAAAAUUAUUUCUUCUGAAAAACACAUACUAAAUAAAAAUCUACUAUACUUAUGGAUUUUCAGAGGUCUUCAUAAAUAUUAACUCAUAAAUUCUUGUGGCUUUCCCAAUUGUCACAUGUCUCCUUUCAUGAAAUAUUUUGUAAAUUUUUACUAUGGUAUUGGACAGAGCAUGAACCUCAGAAUUGCCCAAAUCUGAGUUCACCGACUUAAUCAAGCACAUAUUAUUAAUAUAUAACCUUGGAUAAUUUAUCAAUUUAAACUGAAGAGCUUUAUCUUCAACAUUUCUAAAUUAUGCGUGUUAUAAACAAUAAAUCAGGUUAUUCCAUUACAUUUAAUAACUAGCAACCCACACUGUGAUAAGUGUCAGUAAUGCAACAGCAUGGUAAUAUAUAGGCAAAGCACCAACCAGAAAUUAAGUAUCUGUUGAAUUUCUCUCUACUCUCCUUUUCCCUCAACCAAUUCCUGAAUAAAUGGAGGGAGAAACAGGAAUGUUUUAAGAAAUCUUCUUCAACUAAUAUGAAAUAGGAUAUCUGAAGACUCACCCUUCUGUCUUCCUAGUCUAUAGUUUGUUCCACAGCUAUUUUUGUGACUAAAGAUACUAAAAUUAGACAUUACUUUUAUCUCUAAAUUUCAAGGCAGUUGUUAAGAACUAUGACUAAACUACCAAAAUAAAGAAACAUAGAGGAAUAAUGAACAUUGACUACAAACUAAACUGAUUGUCACAUAUUCUAUGUGGUGAUUUGAGAGACUGCUUCUCAUACACUGUAAUUCAAUGAAAAAAGUAGCAUAUACAAAAUGAUUACUUAGUAAGAAAAAUUCAAACUUAAAACGAGUUGUCAAUGUGACAUGCCAUGUUAGAAAUGAAUAAUAAAAUGUGUGCCAAGGGCUAAGUAAGGCAUUUUUCCCUUUUUUUCUCUUUUAAAAAGUACUACAAAAGAGCAGUUUUUUUGGUUAAAAGAAUUAAUGAAAAUUGCUAAGUCAAUGACGCUUUCAGAAGUUCCCUGUUUUUGACAUCAGAGUCAUAUUAUAAUGCUCUAUUUUCUGUUUCCUCACCUAAAUAGAAUUUUGCUUGAGGUAAUUUUUUAUCUGAACUUCUGUUUGUAGAAACCAGGGAUAUUUAUUGAAUUGUUUCUGGCUGGCUAUUUGAUCGUAACAAAGCAUUUAAAUGGUACUGAUCCCCUGGCUUGAGCAACGGAGCAUCCCAGACUUUCAGUUAGUUGCACACAGCACACAUACAACUCAUUUGAGUUACAGCUAAAUGCAAUUACAGGCCUCAGAGCUAAUAUAUAGAUCACUUCUUAUUUAAGGCAAUUCACCUUUGAAUUGGUUAACCUUUAAUUGUUUACAAAAUACUAAGAUGGGAAACAAAGUUGCUACCCAAUAUGUCAGUUUCCCCAAAUAAACACUUAUUUAAAGGUUCAUUUGUUAAUCAAGUAUCUGGAAGUUGAAAUACAUUUUUAUGAAAGGAAAUAAAUUUUAGGUGAUGAUUAGGUUUUUAUCAAGAGCUGAAGUUUUUAAUAAUGGACAGGGAGAGAUACUAUGGCAAAACAGUAAUUGAAUAAAACAUAAAUUCCAUAAAAUGAUAUGAAAAAUCAAUGACAUUUAUCCUGAGUCAAAUAUAAAGAGAAUUAAAUUGAGGAUGAUAAAAUGUUUCUAAUCAUUGUUCCACCAGUAUUUGACCUUGAGCAAACUGCCUGGGGGCCAUAUUUGGUAGACAGAUGAGGAUGUACACUUUCUUUUAAAUACUUGAGAAUUAGCUUGAGUGCUAUCAUUUGAUAACUUGCUCGGUAUUUCAUAAAUGCCAGGAAAUUAACUCAAAUCCUUUGAUGAGCUGCAUUUUCUGUAUUCAAUUUGUGUAAGUUCAACAAAUAUUUAUUGAGGGUCUUCCAUAUGCUGGGUAUGUGUCUUCGCAAAAUAAAGUACAUUAUGAAAGAUGUGAUGCUCAAUAGUAUAUCAUCAGUGAAUUGCAAAUUAAAAUCUAAAUGAGAUAUCACUAUAUAUCCACUGGAUUGUCUAAUAUUUUAAAGUUGUCAGUAUUAAAUAUUGGGAAAAAUGUGGAGCAGCUGGAACACUCAUACAUUGCCAGUGGGAGAUUAAAAUGGUGCAGCACUUUGUAAAGCUAAACAUAUAUUUACUAUACUACCCAAUAAUACCACUAAGUAUUUACGAAGAGAAAACAAUUGUCUACACAAAGACUUGUACAUGAAUGUUCACAGUAGCUUUAUUCAUCAUAGCUAAAAACUGGAAACAACUCAAAAACAGAAAAGUAAAUUGAUGAGCAAAUUGUGGUAUAUCAAUUUAAUGGGAUACCAUCCAACAAUGAAAUAAAUAAUGAAUGAUAACACUGAUUGACAUCAAUAAUUUCAAAAUCAUUAUCCUAUGUUAAUGAAGCCAGACACAAAUAAGUACUUUGUAUAUUAUUUUAUUUGCAUAAAAAUUUAUAACAGGAAAAUCUAAUCUAUAAUGGCAAAAAGUAGAUUCGUGGUUGUCUGAGCUAAGGGUAGAGGAAGAUUGAUGGACUGCAAAAUGCAAAAGGGAACUCCUUGAGGGUGAUGGAAAUAGUCUAUAUCCUGAUUAGCAAGGUGGUUACAUGCAUGUAUACCUUUCUCAAAACUCAUAGAACAUACACUUAAAAUGUGCAGUGCUGGCUGGGUGCAGUGGUAUGGCUCACACCAAUAAUGAACAGGGAGAGAUACUAUGGCAAAACAGUAAUUGAAUAAAACAUAAAUUCAAUAAAAUGAUAUGAAAAAUCAAUGUUUGACAUUUAUCCUGAGUCAAAUAUAAAGAGAAUUAAAUUGAGGAUGAUAAAAUGUUUCUAAUCAUUGUUCCACCAGUAUGUGACCUUGAGCAAACUGCCUGGGGGCCAUAUUUGGUAGACAGAUGAGGAUGUACACAGUGGUAUAGCUCAUACCACUGCACCCAGCCAGCACUGCACAAUAAAUGUCAAACAUUGAUUUUUCAUAUCAUUUUAUGGAAUUUAUGUUUUAUUCAAUUACUGUUUUGCCAUAGUAUCUCUCCCUGUCCAUUAUUAAAAACUUCAGCUCUUGAUAAAAACCUAAUCAUCACCUAAAAUUUAUUUCCUUUCAUAAAAAUGUAUUUCAACUUCCAGAUACUUGAUUAACAAAUGAACCUUUAAAUAAGUGUUUAUUUGGGGAAACUAACAUAUUGGGUAGCAACUUUGUUUCCCAUCUUAUUAUUUUAUAAACAAUUAAAGGUUAACCAAUUCAAAGGUGAAUUGCCUUAAAUAAGAAGUGAUCUAUAUAUUAGCUCUGAGGCCUGUAAUUGCAUUUAGCUGUAACUCAAAUGAGUUGUAUGUGUGCUGUGUGCAACUAACUGAAAGUCUGGGAUGCUCCGUUGCUCAAGCCAGGGGAUCAGUACCAUUUAAAUGCUUUGUUACGAUCAAAUAGCCAGCCAGAAACAAUUCAAUAAAUGUCCCUGGUUUCUACAAACAGAAGUUCAGAUAAAAAAUUACCUCAAGCAAAAUUCUAUUUAGGUGAGGAAACAGAAAAUAGAGCAUUGUAAUAUGACUCUGAUGUCAAAAACAGGGAACUUCUGAAAGCGACACUGAUUUAGCAAUUUUCAUUAAUUUUUUUUAGUCCUCUACGACCGGCAGCUAGCAACUUGACAGGAAAAUACAGGAACCUGAAUAAACCUGACCCGUCUUCAGCAUCGUUUAUAUACUGCGGUUAUGCCCACGGAGGUUCCUGGACUGCAUGUUUUGAUUGGAUGAGAAAAAACCUCCAGGCUUACUCUGAUUGGACUUUAUUAUCAUGUUCUGAUUGGUUGAGAGCAAGUCUUAACACAGCCAAUCACAGCAUGAAAAUAAAGUCCAAUCAGAGUAGGCCUAGAGGUUUUUCUCUCGUCCAAUCAGAACAUGUAGUCCAGGAAACGCAUUUGCAUAACCUCAGUAUAUAAAGCAUGCUGAGGUCGCAUCACGUCAUUUCAAGCUCUUGUGUAUGGAGGGAAGGAGCUACCCUGUGACCGGCUUAGAGAACUGGAAGAGACCGCAACCUUCCUUCUGCUUGAGGUUGGAGGAUGGAUGGAGCCUGGAGCCCUGGAGCGUGGGACACUGUUUCGCUGUGGUUGGUGGUGGCGACAGAGCAGUAGGAGAGCGGCCGGCAGCGGGAGCUUCUCCUGCUAGGCUGGAGGACUAGGAGAAGGAAGAGGCACUGCCACAUGCUGGAGGCUGGAGCCUGUGCCACUGUGGCUGGCCUCGCUGUGGUUGGCUCGCCUCGCUGUGGUUGGCUCGCCUCGCUGUGGUUGGUGGUGACGUCGGAGACUGCAGCUCGGCCACAGUGGUAGAAAUGUGAUGGGGUAGUGGUACAUGAUCAGCAUUGUCCACAUUUACAAUCGAUGGAGGAACAAUGAAAUUCAGUGUUACGUUAAUGGACAACUGGUAUCUUAUGGUGAUAUGGCUUGGCAUGUUAACACAAAUGAUAGCUAUGACAAGUGCUUUCGUGGAUCAUCAGAAACUGCUGAUGCAAAUAGCGUAUUCUGUGCUCAACCUGUUGCGGUUCAGUGAAGCACUCAGCCCAGCACAGAUACUUGCAAUUCAUCAGUUAGGACCUAGAUAUAAGGGAAGUUGGAAAUAGGCAAGAAUGGAGAGAAAUUUUGUAUGGCAGUACACAGAAUUUUGCAAGUUUUUUGUGAGCCCUGCAACAAUCCGAUGCAUUUUAGUUACUGUGCUACUCUUUCGACAUUCCUGGUUGAACUACUUAAAAGUUCAGUAGCCAUGCAAGAACAGGUGCUGGGUGGAAAAGGCUUUUUAGUUAUUGGCUAAUUACUUGAAAAGUCAUCAAGAGUUCAUGUAACUAGACCUGUCUUGGAGCAAUUUUUAUCUUUUGCAAAAUACCUUGGUGGUUUAUCUCAUGGAGCACCUUUGCUGAAGCAGCUUUGUGAUCAUAUUUUGUUUAUUAACCCAGCCAUCUGGAUACAUACACCUGCAAAGGUUCAACUUUGCCUAUAUACAUGUUUGUCUGCUGAAUUUAUUGGAACUGCUACCAUCUACACCACCAUACGCAGAAUAGGAACAGUAUUAAAGAUAAUGCACACCUUAAAAUAUUACUACUGGGUUAUUAAUCCUGCUGACAGUAGUGGCAUUACACCUAAAGGAUUAGAUUUUGGCAAUUAUGAAUAGAGCUACCAUGAACACCCAG